rnacentral:tRNA from 1 species
GGUUCCAUAGUAUAGUAGUUAGCAUGUCUACUUUACACGCAGAAGGUCCUGGUUUCACGCACCAGUGGAGCCA